GACACAAUCAUCAAGGAAAAUAAAAAAUCCAUUUUAUAUGAAGGAGAUGUGGCAGUUGAAGGUGGUGUGGCAAAAUAUUUUAUAAAUGACAAAAGCUACUGGGGAUUUAGUAGCACUGGGGACUUCAUGGAUGAUAACGAUUACCAAAAUACUCGUUAUACUGUGUCUCUGCAAUCGUCAAAUAUUUCUGAACUGUACUCAACAGCACGCAAAUCACCAAUUUCUCUUACAUAUUUCCAUUAUUGUUUACAAAGUGGGGAGUACAUUGUAAAACUUCACUUUGAUGAGAUACAAUUC
rnacentral:misc_RNA from 1 species